rnacentral:rRNA from 1 species
AUUGAACGCUGGCGGCAUGCCUUACACAUGCAAGUCGAACGGCAGCACGGGGGCAACCCUGGUGGCGAGUGGCGAACGGGUGAGUAAUACAUCGGAACGUGUCCUGUAGUGGGGGAUAGCCCGGCGAAAGCCGGAUUAAUACCGCAUACGAUCUGUGGAUGAAAGCGGGGGAUCCUUCGGGACCUCGCGCUACAGGGGCGGCCGAUGGCAGAUUAGCUAGUUGGUGGGGUAAAGGCCUACCAAGGCGACGAUCUGUAGCUGGUCUGAGAGGACGACCAGCCACACUGGGACUGAGACACGGCCCAGACUCCUACGGGAGGCAGCAGUGGGGAAUUUUGGACAAUGGGCGAAAGCCUGAUCCAGCAAUGCCGCGUGUGUGAAGAAGGCCUUCGGGUUGUAAAGCACUUUUGUCCGGAAAGAAAACCUCGUGGUUAAUACCCGUGGGGGAUGACG